rnacentral:rRNA from 1 species
CAGUAGCCACGGUAAUACGAAGGUCCCGAGCGUUGUUCGGAAUCACUGGGCGUAAAGGGAGCGUAGGCGGCGUGGUAAGUCAGAUGUGAAAUCCCGGGGCUCAACCCCGGAACUGCAUCCGAUACUGCCAUGCUAGAGGAUUGGAGAGGUAGCUGGAAUUCUUGGUGUAGCAGUGAAAUGCGUAGAGAUCGGAAGGAACAUCUGUGGCGAAGGCGACUAUCUGGGCCAACACUGACACUGAGGCACGAAAGCGUGGGGAGCAAACAGGAUUAGAUACCCCGGUAGUCCCUGUCUCUUAUAC